GGUUAAGCGACUAAGCGUACACGGUGGAUGCCCUGGCAGUCAGAGGCGAUGAAGGGCGUGCUAAUCUGCGAUAAGCGCCGGUAAGGUGAUAUGAACCGUUAUAACCGGCGAUACCCGAAUGGGGAAACCCAGUGUGAUUCGUCACACUAUCAUUAACUGAAUCCAUAGGUUAAUGAGGCGAACCGGGGGAACUGAAACAUCUAAGUACCCCGAGGAAAAGAAAUCAACCGAGAUUCCCCCAGUAGCGGCGAGCGAACGGGGAGGAGCCCAGAGCCUGAAUCAGCAUGUGUGUUAGUGGAAGCGUCUGGAAAGGCGCGCGAUACAGGGUGACAGCCCCGUACACAAAAGCGCAUGUGCUGUGAGCUCGAUGAGUAGGGCGGGACACGUGGUAUCCUGUCUGAAUAUGGGGGGACCAUCCUCCAAGGCUAAAUACUCCUGACUGACCGAUAGUGAACCAGUACCGUGAGGGAAAGGCGAAAAGAACCCCGGCGAGGGGAGUGAAAAAGAACCUGAAACCGUGUACGUACAAGCAGUGGGAGCACCCUUUGGGUGUGACU
rnacentral:rRNA from 1 species